UGGGCCCGCGCCGCGAGCUGCAGUUCCGGGCUGCGCUCUGGCGCGGGAUUCAAGGUGUGUUCGGCGAGUCCUUGUGUAGGGGCGGCUGGGCGGGGGAGAGUCCUGAGUUUGUACUGGAAUCUGCAGCUGAGAUUAGCCAGACCGGGCCCGCCCAGAGGAGGGAUUGGAAGCUGGUGCACUUGACAUUCGAAGAGCGCGAAGGGGAAACGACGCUGCCUCACACCCAGUGCUAGGAGAGUGCGGGUACGGCCCUUCCACAUUUUUCGCUGGCCUGGGGCUCCCAGAUUUCACGAUGCUUCCCUCUAUCCCGCCUCAUUGACCCCUGGACAACCCUGAAAUAUCAUCGUCAGCAUUAUUUCAUCGGAAAGAAGGGCAGCAAGAGAGGCCGGAUGAUUCUCCCAAGGCCACACAGCUAAUUAGUGGGCAGAGCCCAGUCUAGAAGCCAUCUCACCAUCUGACACCUUUCGACAAAGUGCAAAACGCGGUGGUGAGAGACGAGGACACAGACAUUAAGAUUCCGCUCCAGCCCUAGAGGCACUGAGAAUCAGAACGUGAACUACUCUUCACUCCAGGCAGAAAGCAAGAGGCUUGGAUGAGUUUUAGGAAACCAGCACAGUGUCGGGCACAGAGCGCUCAAUGAAUAGAUGUGUAACAACAAAGUAGGGAUCCAACAGAGGAAGAAAUAAUUUAUUGUAAGGUGGCCUUUGGGAAAGCUCUCAGAAAGGUGGAUGAAUCACUUAAGAGGAAUGGACUCCAGCAGCAUCACAGAAUCAAAGCAACACCUAAGGAAUUCACUGUUUCUUCACAUACUUUGAACUGUGAAAACAAGAGUCAUCAUAAUAGCUGCAGUUUACUCAGUACCUACCAGGUACUGUCACCUAUACUGUCUCUAAAGCCCCUACAACCCUGAGCUAAGGAUGAUCAUAUCCCCAACUGCAGAUGAUGACACUGAAGCUCAACGGCUACUCAACUUGCCUGGAAUCCUACAGCAAAAUACUGCAUUGUGUCACAAGAAUUCAACUAUGUACUCAUGGAGAAGGAGGGAGAAAGCAAGGAAGGAAAAAAGAGAAAAGUAAUUUACAUAGUAACAGCAAUUCUGCUCAACAUUCCAUUCAGUGAGCCGAUACCCUGGAGUGCAGAAACUGUUAUGAAUGUACUCCACCAAGGCAAGAAAGGAAGAAGACAUGGAAUUUAAAAAACAGAGGAUCUACUAUGAAAGAGAAAGGUGAAGGGAAUUCCAGGCUGAUGGUAAAUGCAAAUUCCAGGAUGAGAGUUGGGCAGCAGGCCUAGAGUGCACUCCGUCCUGGGAGGAGCCAGAUGAUAGAGGGCUCUAGGAGAGAAGGCUCCAAGGGAAAAUGAAACAAGUAAGUGACCUGACGUGUGUCUGAACCAGCCCAGAGGAGAUCCAUAGUUCUGAUAAGGAGUCUGGGGUGGAAAUAAUAGGUACAUGGAACACUAUGCAAACAAAAUACUAAUUAUUAAUCCUGGGAAAUAAAAGUAACUGCAGUUUACUAUGUGACUCAGCUAUAAAUAAUAUAAAUACUGUAUAUUAACCUGAUAAAAAUGAUGAUUUACCUAAAUUGGGAGGAUGGGGAAGAGAAGUAUUUGUCCGGGGACAGGGGAGCUGCAAGAGUACUAAACCGUAUCUCCCACAGUAUGAUGUCAAAAGAUAAUAUAAAUAAAUAAGAAAGAAUAAC
rnacentral:lncRNA from 1 species